CACAAGCGUUACUUCGGCCACUCUGCCCACGUGACCAACAUCCGUUUCUCUUAUGACGACAAAUAUGUGAUAAGUGUAGGAGGCAACGACUGUAGUGUGUUUGUGUGGAGAUGCAUCUGAUGGGCCUCCACACACCAAGCCGGAGAUACCUCCAGCGUCCGGAUGCUGCACUUCUGUUAUGCUGCGUUUUACCCCUCUAGACCUGAUGGAUCCUGGACGAGCUUGAGUUCGACGAGGGUUUUUUACCAUUCUGUGAAGUGCAAUGUUUACGCUCACAUGUAGUUUUACAAAGAAAAAAAAGAUACGCUCAUAAGUCAUGCCAAUAUUUCAGAAAUGUAUUUUUUGUUCGGAUUCUGAAGUGCCUUGGAGACACAGUUUGCUGAUCUUUUCCCCCGAAAUGUUCAUAUGCAUAUAUGGUGCUAAAUGUCCACUUAAAGCUUUUUAAAA